AAAUGACCAGAAAUUAUCCAAAUAAACCCAGGAAGUUUGGCGCCCAGUGUGAGCAGCAACAGCAGUCUUGGACCAGGAUCAGUCUUCAAAGUGGAGUUCCUAGAAGCCAAGAUCAAAGGAUCUUGACAAGAGCGCAAUUUCCUAUGUGCGCAAAUCCUGGGAGGAAAGAAGAAAUCACUCUUUACUGAAGAAGAAGAUAAGAACGAUGACGACAUGGAAGAAGAUGACCUUCCCCAAUCCACUCCAAACAUCAGCGAGUUCUCAGACAGUGAUCUUGUUAUCCCAAGACGUAAGCCUCAUCACACACACAACCACCUGCAUCUGCAACUGUGGCUGUGUCAGGGUGAGCUCAUAUGAUAGGUAAGAAUGGCUUUACUUGACCCCCUGCACAGUAAAUUAUUAGCUGUCAUCAAAAGAAAAUUUUGAUAAUAUUAAAAUAAAAAUAG